UUUUGAUGCACUAAUUUCCUUGAUGUAUUUAAAUAUGGCUGCACGUAGCAGAUAUGCUAGUCUACGUCAUUGAACGUGACCUCGCUGUAAAACCUGAACGUGAAUCCAAUGGAGCCAAACGGAAACGCCUGCGAAGAGCACGUCCUUGCCCACACGGAGGGAUGGACUAUGCCUCGGCCAACCCCAGCCAACCCCAAAAACUUGCAGACGCUCUCCCAGGGGCAAGUUCACUUCUCCAUUUGGUGCGGAGGACAAAUACGGUGUGGGAAAGUUUCUCUCUCUCCUUCUCUCUUCUCUCUCUCUCUCCCUCCCCCUCUCUUCUGCCUUUCUGUUCUCUCCCUCUCCUCCCUCAGCCCACCCCCCUCUCUCUCUCUUUCUCUCUCAUACACGCACAUCAUGUGGUUGGAAUAUGCUCUUGCCUAACUCAGAGAGCAACUGAAGCACGCGUAAUGAGCUGGGUAUUAGCGGCAAUUUUAAACGGAAGGGUGGCGAGUGAUGGCUGGAUAUUGUGGGAAGGUCUAGAAAGAACAGUGCAUAUACUCGAAGGGCCUCUGUUUUUGGAUGAUUUCUGACUGUUCAAGACAACUGCUGUAUUGACUGACGACAUUUAAAAUAUGCGGAGAGGAUGACCAGAGUUUACCCCACGGAGGAGAGCAGGGGCGGUGACCUGUUUGAAAUGUAUCCUGAAGCGCACACUACCUGAGGAAAGGGGAGUCGGAGGGGAGGACACAGUUGACGGCUUAAUUCGCGGGGAAGGACAACGUGGGCACUCGUUAAGAUGGUGGUCCCCCGGAGGCGAAGGUGCACAAAGGGAAAGGGAUGUGACGGAUGACAGCAUUGUUCUCUUCAAGAAAAGUGAGAUUCGGGUUCACACCGCCCCACCCCCUUGACUCAUUGCAACG